UACAUGGGGUGCAAACGUUGCUCGGAAUUAUUGGGCGUAAAGCGCACGUAGGCGGUUCGUUAAGUCGGAUGUGAAAGCCCUCGGCUCAACUGAGGAAGUGCACCCGAAACUGGCGAGCUUGAGUACGAAAGAGGAUCGCGGAAUUCCCGGUGUAGAGGUGAAAUUCGUAGAUAUCAGGAGGAACACCGGUGGUGUAGACGGCUCUCUGGACCAUAACUGACGCUGAGACACGAAAGCGUGGGUAGCAAACAGG
rnacentral:rRNA from 1 species